rnacentral:rRNA from 1 species
AUUGAACGCUGGCGGCAUGCCUUACACAUGCAAGUCGAACGGUAACAGGUCUUCGCAUGCUGACGAGUGGCGAACGGGUGAGUAAUACAUCGGAACGUGCCUAGUAGUGGGGGAUAACUACUCGAAAGAGUGGCUAAUACCGCAUGAGAUCUACGGAUGAAAGCAGGGGAUCGCAAGACCUUGUGCUACUAGAGCGGCCGAUGGCAGAUUAGGUAGUUGGUGGGAUAAAAGCUUACCAAGCCGACGAUCUGUAGCUGGUCUGAGAGGAGGAUCAGCCACACUGGGACUGAGACACGGCCCAGACUCCUACGGGAGGCAGCAGUGGGGAAUUUUGGACAAUGGGCGCAAGCCUGAUCCAGCAAUGCCGCGUGCAGGAUGAAGGCCUUCGGGUUGUAAACUGCUUUUGUACGGAACGAAAAGCCCUGGGUUAAUACCCUGGGGUCAUGACGGUACCGUAAGAAUAAGCACCGGCUAACUACGUGCCAGCCGCCGCGGUAACAC